UCGGGAAUUUUGGACAAUGGGUGAGAGCCUGAUCCAGCCAUGCCGCGUGCAGGAAGAAGGCGUUAUGCGUUGUAAACUGCUUUUGCCAGGGGAUAAAAUGACCGUGCGCGGUUAAUUGAAGGUACCUGGUGAAUAAGCCACGGCUAACUACGUGCCAGCAGCCGCGGUAAUACGUAGGUGGCAAGCGUUGUCCGGAUUUAUUGGGUUUAAAGGGUGCGUAGGCGGUUUAUUAAGUCAGUGGUGAAAGACGGUCGCUCAACGAUUGCAGUGCCAUUGAUACUGGUAGACUUGAGUAUGAUUGAGGUAGCUGGAAUGGAUAGUGUAGCGGUGAAAUGCAUAGAUAUUAUCCAGAACACCAAUUGCGUAGGCAAGUUACUAAGUCAUAACUGACGCUGAGGCACGAAAGUGUGGGUAUCAAACAGGAUUAGAUACCCGGGUAGUCCCUGAGCGGGCUGGCAAGGCGCAU
rnacentral:rRNA from 1 species